rnacentral:rRNA from 1 species
AGAGUUUGAUCAUGGCUCAGGAUGAACGCCAGCUACAGGCUUAACACAUGCAAGUCGAGGGGAAACGACAUCGAGAGCUUGCUUUUGAUGGGCGUCGACCGGCGCACGGGUGAGUAACGCGUAUCCAACCUGCCCAUCACUUGGGGAUAACCUUGCGAAAGUAAGACUAAUACCCAAUGACGUCUCUAGAAGACAUCUGAAAGAGAUUAAAGAUUUAUCGGUGAUGGAUGGGGAUGCGUCUGAUUAGCUUGGUUGGCGGGGUAACGGCCACCAAGGCGACGAUCGAGUAGGGGUUCUGAGAGGAACGGUCCCCANAUUGGAACUGAGACACGGUCCAAACUCCUACGGGAGCA